rnacentral:lncRNA from 1 species
UACAACUGCAAAGACAGCAAAUGUUUUGUAUGUAUUUAUUACAACCAAAAUAUUAACAUACAGGUUAAACCACACCAUGGUUUUCACUGCUACACUUGGUAUCAGGGAAACUGUAAUUACUAUGGUCUUCCCUCGACCCUCCAGGCGCAUUGCAAAGAAAACUGUUUGACGGAACAAAAUAAGGUUCUUCGAGACCCCGGACCUAAAGAAAAUUCUCUCUUCCUCAGAGACAUCAUAUCUUCUAUUUCUGUUAUACGAAUUUAAGCUUCAGAUUAAGCCCUCCCGGCAAGUUUGAUCUAGAGAAUGGGUCUUUGUUUGCAGGGCCGUCAGUCUAUCAAGUCAAAAUCAUAUACCACAUCCCAAGCCUCUAGCUUCUGACCCUUUGAUGAUUCUCAAUCUCUUACAGGAUGAAAUGAACAUACUGCAUAAAGAAUAUGCAAGAAAAUCAGAUACAGGUCAUGCUUAUAUGCGACAGAGAGGAGGAAUGGAACUUACUCCCACGGAACAUCUCCAACAAACAUCAAGUCACCAUCUUUAUCUGUUGGAGGAAUUUUGUGAAUAGAGACGCCAAAAAUAAGUAUAAAGAUAGGGACAAAACCGAGGCAAGAGUUGGAUUCUUUGUCCUUAAGUCGAAUUUGUCCCACAACGGUGCCUACGGAUUUCGGCAAUCGACUCCCAAGAUACCUCCAAAACACAAGUACAACGAACCAAAUUUAGGCUUAUGUACUCCAAGAAUGAAAUGAAGGAAAAUCAAAAUAAAAGAAAUGAUUUUGAUUUUGGAUAGAAGAGAG